rnacentral:tRNA from 1 species
UUAGAUGGUGAACUGUAAAUUCACAUUUUAUACAACCACUCUUAACCUUGAAAGCUAAU